UACGUAGGAUCCGAGCGUUGUCCGGAUUUACUGGGCGUAAAGGGUGCGUAGGCGGCAUAGUAAGUCUCAUGUGAAAUCUCCCGGCUCAACUGGGAGGGGUCAUGGGAAACUGCUACGCUUGAGGGCAGUAGAGGAGAGCGGAAUUCCGGGAGUAGUGGUGAAAUGCGUAGAUACCCGGAGGAACACCCGUGGCGAAAGCGGCUCUCUGGACUGUACCUGACGCUGAGGCACGAAAGCGUGGGGAGCAAACCGG
rnacentral:misc_RNA from 1 species